GUGAUAUAUAGGAGGUAACCUGGGGUUGGUGUGAUAUAUAGGAGGUGACCUGGGCUGAGUUGGUGUGAUAUAUAGGAGGUGACCUCGGCAGAGUUGGUGUGAUAUAUAGGAGGUAACCUGGGCUAAGUUGGUGAGAUAUAUAGGAGUAAACCUGGGCUGAGUUGGUGUGAUAUAUAGGAGGUGACCUGGGCUGAGUCGGUGUGAUAUAUAGGAGUAAACCUGGGCUGAGUUGUUGUGAUAUAUAGGAGUAAACCUGGGCUGAGUUGGUGUGAUAUAUAGGAGGUAACCUGGGCUGAGUUGGUGUGAAAUGUAGGAGGUAACCUGGGCUGAGUUGGU
ensembl:lncRNA